CACUGGCAUCACUUACUGAGGCCUCCACAGCUGCCAAGGAGAGCUGGAGGAGUUGAAACAGGUUCUGGGUGAGGGGCAAGAGAGAGCCAUCUAUUUGCAGCCUCAGAAGCACAUUUCUGCCUUCUCUCCUUGAGCCCAAACCCACCCUUGAAAGUUACCCCAGGUUGGAUUAGCUGGCUGCUUAUCGUGGACACUGUUCCAGAUCAGCACACACAGAUCUGCUCUAUUCUUCUUACCUUGCCACGUGGUAUUCCUUUUUUUUUUAAAAAAAUAAUAAUCUGUAAUACAUAUGAUUAAAGGGCU